AUCCUACUGGUUCUGAUAAAGUGAUGACUGGUCUGAUCACGCGUGUGUGUGUGUGAAAUGUGCAUCCGCUGUUACGACUGAGCACAUCGACCUUCUGAUC